CCUACGGGAGGCAGCAGUGGGGAAUAUUGCACAAUGGGCGAAAGCCUGAUGCAGCGACGCCGCGUGAGGGAUGACGGCCUUCGGGUUGUAAACCUCUUUCAGCAGGGAAGAAGCGCAAGUGACGGUACCUGCAGAAGAAGCACCGGCUAACUACGUGCCAGCAGCCGCGGUAAUACGUAGGGUGCGAGCGUUGUCCGGAAUUAUUGGGCGUAAAGAGCUCGUAGGCGGCUUGUCGCGUCGGAUGUGAAAGCCCGGGGCUUAACUCCGGGUCUGCAUUCGAUACGGGCAGGCUAGAGUUCGGUAGGGGAGAUCGGAAUUCCUGGUGUAGCGGUGAAAUGCGCAGAUAUCAGGAGGAACACCGGUGGCGAAGGCGGAUCUCUGGGCCGAUACUGACGCUGAGGAGCGAAAGCGUGGGGAGCGAACAGGAUUAGAUACCCUGGUAGUCCACGCCGUAAACGUUGGGAACUAGGUGUGGGCGACAUUCCACGUCGUCCGUGCCGCNGCUACGCAUAACGUUACCCGUCCGUCGGGAGGUACGGCCGCGACGGACGUAAACUACAAGAGAGUAGACGCGUGAGACGUCGACGACGACGACGACGAGGGAGGAGG
rnacentral:rRNA from 1 species